GCCAGAGUCAUAUCUCCCUGCAGUUUUCACCCGGUUCCUAUUGAAGCUAAGCAGGGUUGAACCUGGCCAGUACCUGGAUGGGAGACCUCCUGGGGAAAACUAAGGUUGCUGCUUGAA
rnacentral:rRNA from 1 species